ACGGAGGAUGCGAGCGUUAUCCGGAUUUAUUGGGUUUAAAGGGUGCGUAGGCGGAUUAAUAAGUCAGUGGUGAAAUACUGCAGCUUAACUGUAGAAUUGCCGUUGAUACUGUUAGUCUUGAGUAUGGUCAAGGUAGGCGGAAUGUGUAAUGUAGGAGUGGAAUCCUGUGAGACUACAUGGCCCAGCUGUUGCGAAGGCGUGUGGCCAGGACAUCGCAUACACUGAGGCACGAAAGCUUGUGGAGCUAACAG
rnacentral:rRNA from 1 species